rnacentral:rRNA from 1 species
GGGUGCGAGCGUUAAUCGGAAUUACUGGGCGUGAAGCGAGCGCAGACGGUUACUUAAGCAGGAUGUGAAGUCCCCGGGCUCAACCUGGGAACUGCGUUCUGAACUGGGUGACUAGAGUGUGUCAGAGGGAGGUAGAAUUCCACGUGUAGCAGUGAAAUGCGUAGAGAUGUGGAGGAAUACCGAUGGCGAAGGCAGCCUCCUGGGAUAACACUGACGUUCAUGCUCGAAAGCGUGGGUAGCAGACAGGAUUAGAUACCCUGGUAGUCAAGGGCG